AGUGAUACUCUAUCUCAAAAAAUAAAAAUAAAAAAAAAAUAAAAUAAAAUAAAUCCCAUUCUCUCUAACAGAUAUGAUAUAGCACAAUUAAAGGUUUUAUUAAACAUGUAAUACUUAUUGAACUAGACAGUCCUUUGAGACAAAACCAUACUCAAAAUACUUUAUAUAUGGUAGGAUUUCAAAUCUACAUAAAAUUCUUACAAUGUGAGGAGUAUUAUUAACAUGUUGCACAUGAGACAACUGAGGUUUAGUGAAGUCAAAAAACUGCCUGGAAUCACAUUUAAAAUGUGGUGGUAGAGCCAGGCCUGGCUGAUCCAAAUAGUCAUGCAUGGUCUACUUUCCCCCACUUCCUCUUAAUGAAGAGCCAGUCAACUUAUUGAGUCUGGAUGUCUCAUAGCUUAGUGGCAUGGGAGUAGCUGGAAGGUUGCCAGCCAUGGGAAAA
rnacentral:lncRNA from 10 species